UAGGGAAUCUUCCACAAUGGACGAAAGUCUGAUGGAGCAACGCCGCGUGAGUGAUGAAGGGUUUCGGCUCGUAAAACACUGUUGUAAGAGAAGAAUGACAUUGAGAGUAACUGUUCAAUGUGUGACGGUAUCUUACCAGAAAGGAACGGCUAAAUACGUGCCAC
rnacentral:rRNA from 1 species